UAUACCAAAAACUCAGGUCAAAGUACAUGACACAGAACAGAAACAACCUCAAACAGGAACAACUCCAAACACAAAAUCUCAAAAAGGUAUAAAAACACUCACUCCCAGCUCUAUUUUGUCACCCACCCCAGAAACAUGCUGUCUCACUGAAGUUUCUGGGAACUCAAUAAACAGAAUCUUCUUUCCUAAGCAGUCUCCAUUUUGUUUAUUCCUGGCUUGGACUGGAUCCUGAUGAUUUUUCUUUCAAUAACAGAUUCCACAUCUUUUGUGUUUCCUCACUUUCACCAGUGUUUUGUUUAUUUUUCUCAAACUCUUCCUCACUCCUCCUUCACAGUCAAGAAAAGCCCCUUAUGUGUUCUCAAAGCAGCAUUACUGAGGAACACUCAUGGUAGGGACAGCCAAAGUUCACUAGCCCCAUUGUGGGACUAUGGAUUGUCCCUUUUCCAAGUCAAAAUUUCAGACUGCUCCUUCCAGUUAGCUGUCUCCCAAGCACUGGGAGAUAUGAGGUGUAUCCCUUGAUAAGAUGGGCGGGAGCCAUUCUCUAAGCAUAAGCUAUCUUUAAACUCCCUAGGAAAAUCUGCUCCUGUUUAAGCUAUCUCAUUCCUGGAACGAGCAUGAAAGACUGCCAAUCCAUUGUCUGUGGCACCCGUUUUCCUUCAGGGAUGCAUGCGGGAUCGAAAGAGGCCUCCUAACAUAUUUCCACCACAUUUUCUCAUUAUUGCACCCUCACAACACACACACACACACACAGUGUGAGUGAGUGAGUGAGUGAGAGAGGGGGGGGUUAUCUCAGGAGUCUGGGUGAAAUAUCACAAAUAUGAACUAUUCUUCAGCAUCUUUUAGAUACAGAUUCCCUCACCACCUUCAGAUACAGUCCUGAUAUUCCUACAUUAAAAUAAAAAGAGAGCAGCAAAAACCAGUAUGGCUGGAUGGAAGCCCACAUCCAGAAGGUUUAGCCUCUCUGCAAGUCAGAGGUUCUCCUCAUGCUGGCCAACUGUGCCAAAUCGGGAGGGAAUUCUUAUAAGUUUUCCCUUUUCUUUUUUGGAAAUAUAUAUAUUUUCCUUUUCUGCCUGCCAAGAUAAAUCUUCAUUUCCAGCUGUGACAUCUGUGUUUCCCUUCUCUCCUUUCAGUAAGGAAUGAACCUUCCCCCAUCACACUCCAGCUUCACAGUUGAGGUUUCCAUUACUCUACAACAAAAGAAGCACUCUAACUUCCACCCAUUCUUUACAUGCUUUAAAAGAAAAAUGUGAUGGUAAAUUUUAGUGCUCAUUAAACUGACAACACUAAUAAGAGACAGGCAGUAGUGGGAUUUAAAUAUGUGAACAACCAGUUCUCUGUGUGGAUGCCGCUUCAGGAAGUCCAUUCUGGGCCUGGGCAACAAAAAAUUAGCUACUGGUUCUGCUGAAGUGGUGCGAACUGGCUGAAUUCCACCACUGGAGACUGGCAUCAUAUACGGAGUGGCUAAGCAUAGUUUAGCCUGACAGUGAGGUUUAAUGUACUUCAGCUCUUACUAGGAACUCCUCCCUAUAUUGUAUUCGCUCUUUCUUUUCCAGUUGUUUCAUAUUGUUUCUUCUUAAUCAAUAUAUAUCAGUAAUUCCACAUAGCAAUCACAUUACAAACCAAUCUAAAAUUAACACUUAUAAUGCUAAAACUAUGGGACAUGGGUGAAAGUAAUGGUCAAUACUCCAGAAAGAUAAUGUAAGUAAUGGUCAUUUAUGUUCUUCCCUGCAAGGAGAUAAAUAUGACAGGCACCAUAUAGAUUUUCAUGAAUGUCCACAGAAAUAAGAUGAUGAUACUGUAGGUUGAUUAUCUAAUGUUCUUAAUUAGUGAUGAGAUAUAGGAACUCAAAAGGCAGAGCACCCAUGAUCAGAUCUAGGCAAUGGUCCCAGCCCCAUUCAAUUCACAAGCAUGGCUGUAAUGUAUAGAUAUGGCUGGCUAAACAAUGUCAAAUUUCCCACAAAUUGCAUAUAGGCUGCUUGAAGGAAGGGCUGGAUAAAAAUGUAAUAAUAAUAGUAAACUACAAACUAAAUCAAUUAAUACAGUGUUUCUCAAUUUGUGUGAACUUCAACUCCCAGAAUUCCCCAGUCAGCAUGCUGGGGGAAGGGGAAGAGAUCUUAAAGUUGCUGAGAAUGAGAAACAUCAGACUAAUAACCGGCAACAGGCUAAAUUUACAAGCAAUAAAUGAGCCAAAUGAAUAUUUUAGCCUUGAAACAUGGGUGAUAGUCAGUUUGUUACAUACUAGAUUUAUUUUUAGGACGUGUUAGCCAGAUUAAUCUGUUGCAGCUAAGCCCUUCCUCUGAAAAUCUAAGGUCUCUGAUGGUAAUAUUUACACACUCAUUUAGAGUAAGUCUCUCACUGUGUACUGCAGCUGACUCCCAGAUAAGCAUAAAAAUAUAAGAAGAAGACUUGUUCUUUCUCAUUCUGGAAUACAAAAUACAGUAUGAUGGAUUUCCAUUACAGAAACGCAGAUCCCAACUAAAUAUCUGGAGAAACAUAAAAAGCUGUUUUACUGUGGAACCACUUACCUAGACAGAUGUGGGUUUCCCUUUAUUUGGUUUAAGCAGAGAUUAGAUAGCUGCCAAUCUAGGAUAUUUUAAUUUGGGUUUCCACCUGAAGCAACAUUUGGAAUCAGCAGAUUAAACAUACUCUUCCAACUUAUUUGACCACAUUUCUGGACUUAAAACAUCUGGAUGAAACUCCUGAUGGCAACAUAGAGGUAGAAUUUUAGGCAUCUCAUUCUCACUCUUUAGUGGCUAUCCAGAAAUAAAGCUCUAGAUUCAGUAUUAUCCCAAAAAGUUCCAAUAUCUGUUAUAUUGUCCACCUUUAAAUUUCACUACAGAUCUACCAGAGGAAGCCCUGCAAGGUAGGAAUAGUUCCAUGUCUUCUUCUUUCAUAUCUCUUUUGCAAGAAAGUUGUAUAAGAGAAUAGUUAUUUAAAAAAUCCUGUCCAGUUCCUUGAAUUCUGGAAUUUCUGAGUGUCUAAAGACUCUGGGCUAACAUUCCAACAUUUCUGCCAGCAGCAAGAACAAUGGGUGGGAAAGGGGGCAUUUUUACAUAAUCAAAACCAAUAGAGAAAAAGAAAUAUACUUCCCAGACAGCACUGAGAAAUAUUGUUUUCCUAUGUGUUAAAAGCUUUUGAGAACCAGCAGUGGAAGAUAUGUAAAUUAGCUACAUUCUUCAUUCUUUUACAAAAACCACAAGGAGAGCUCACCAUUCGUUUUACAGUAAAUCAUUUCCCAGUAAAAGAUCUUUACCAGAUUUGGGUUAUGCAAAAUCUAAUGCUGAAUCCCACAUCUGCUACAGAGGGGAUCAUUGACACAAAACAAAACAAAAAGGGAAAUAUUCUGAAAGCUACAACAUUCUCAGGAGCAAGUUUGAACAAUUGGGUGCUUGCUUGGACUCCUACCAGUAUCUGAGGAAGACACCAGUCCUUGCUUAUCUGCUUUGCUUUUUUGCUAUGACAGGUCAAUAACUAAAGUUGCCUUUUCAGUUACCUUUUGUUCCUCUUGAUGACAAUACAAUCGGAGCCCAGAGGGCAAAACCUAGUAGAAGUGGGCAUCACAAGAUCUGAGAAACUUGCUUUCUUAAUUUUGUCUUCAUGCUACAUUCUACCUGAGGUAUAGAUUUACUUCACCAUUUUGGGGUUUAUCAGUCCUAUCCCAAUAUAAGUAGAUACUCCUGGAAAACAUGCUGAAUUUCAGUACCAUCAAGCCCAAGAGAUCAGUUUUUCAUUGAAAGAUUGAGUGAUAGACCUUAGAGAUAAAUUACAAGUACAAAUAGCUUUUGAUUAUUAGAGUUUCUCUAAUAGCCAGAGACAUAAGAGUCAUUUAGAUGGAUUGUCAAGAAAAGUGGUAAGACAGAAGCUUCAUCCUAUUGAAUAAAGAUAUACUAUAUAGCACAAAUAUUUUUAAAAUGCAUAUCCAGCCUGCCUUUCAAAUGCAGGAUUCCUAAGGUGUCACAUAUCAAAUAUAAAUAACAAAAGUUCAAAAAUAGAGUGGUGUGAUCUAUAAAAAAGGUGGUAAAUGAACAUUUUAUUAGAAAACAAAAGCUUGACUGAAUAGAGUUUUAAAUAUUGUAUAGUAGAGCAUUCUCAUAUAGGUUAUUAAUUCCUACUGGCUACAGAUAAUUCUUAAAAUGUCAAACUCUAUUCAGUCAAGCUUUUGUUUUCUGAUAAAAUUUUCAUUUGCCACACUAUUUGGGGUCUGUGGCCUUUUUGGGGGGGGGGGAAAUAAGAGAAGCAAUUCCAAGCUCUUGUCUUGUACAGUUCAUUGUCUCCAAAGCUGUUAAGAGAAAAGAACAGAACUGGCUGACAAAAGUAGAAGCUGAAAUUGCUUGAAUCCCACAAUAAAAGCCAUGCCUGGAAGCACAGACUACCAUAAAUUAAUCUGGAACAGAAAUGCAAAUGUAAGAAUCCCCAUCUUGGCUAGGAAUAGAGAACACAGACUUUUUAUGCUCAGAGGAUUAUAUCGGGGAACAUGAAUUUUACAUUCAAAAGGGGGGGGGGGGAGAGAACAGAACUUUCAUUAGCAUUAAAAAAACGGCCCAGGAAAGGUUUUAUUCUCAUUUGUGUGUGUACUGAAUGGAGGAGCUACUUUGAAUUUAUUUAUGUCUAGACAGUAUAGGGUGAAGAUUGCUGUGAGGAUCCAAAAGAAACAGGCCCAAGAGGAGUAAAAAGGACAGCAAAAAGGACAGCAGCAACUAGGCGAGGAAAGGCCAGAGGGAACCAGAGAAAACAGAAAUGAAGAGGUGAACUCCCUUAGCAGCCGGCCAAUCCAAACGCCUGAAAAGGGUUAACUGACUCCCUAAAGAGACUUUCUAAAAGAAACAAUAAGAAAUCUAUCAGCUUAUUGGACAGUUCCUAGAAUCCCUGAGCCAAUGGGAAGGGCUGCCAGCUGAGAAGGCUUUUUGGUGAGCCGAUCAAGAGGAGUGCAGGGUUAGAAUGGAGCAGGCUCUGCUCAUGCGUUUUUCGGGGCCGAGGGGACUUUCACCCCAAAUACUGGAAAGCUUAGCUUUCCUGUUCUACCACAAUAUACAGAUCAUGAAGAGUCUUGAGACAAGAGUGGUGAAGAGUGGUUCUUAAUACCUGGUUAAUGUUCCCAAUGCUCAGUGGACAAGCUGUGACUGAAAUUACAGGUUGACAGGGCUUUGGAUCUGUCCCCCUGGAUCUGUCUAGGAAGAAAUAGUUUACCAGGCAAUGUAAAGAACUGAGAAGAUACAUCUUCUCUGCCAUAUGGAUAUAGCAAAAUCUUAUAAUCUUCCAUCAAGAAUGAGAUGGACGCAUAUCUCUAUUUAUUAAGAACUACUGUGAAUUGGCAUGAAGCCUGCCAGAGUCAUGCCCAACUGUUCUAUGUUCUUCCUGGAGAGUCAGAAUUACUAUGGAGCAGUCAAGUAAUCAUCAACUGUAUCAGCAAGAAAUCAAAACAUUCAUUUCCCAAUACACAAGAGCCAUUAAGGGUAAGGAAGAAGAGAAGGAUUCCAAGUUGGAUGAUAGAGAUUACAUCAUUAUGGAUAAACCCAUGAGCCUGUCCAACUGAAACCAUGCCAAUAGACCCAGAUGAUUCAAGAUAUUACUACAUGCAUCUCCAGCUGUUGACACUCUUUCUUCUCCCUUUGCCUCUUGCUUAUGCUGCUUUUGGGAAAUCAUUUUAACAAAAAGAUGGAGCUGAGACACUCACACAGGGAGUAGCAUCUGAAACGAACUGUAGUGGCAAGAUUGGCAUGAUAUUAUGCCACAGGGACAUACUUGCAUUUGGACAUCUGAUGCAAGUAUAUAAAGCUUCACAUCUGUCUCUGCAUAUUUUGUGGAUACCCUUCUUAGGGUCAGACUGUUACUUUAAAAAGAGCACUGAUCUGGCAGAUGUACAUCCCAGGCAUUGUAGGAAAAGCUAUUUCUGAUCUGCCAUAGGUUAACCUGCUAAAAUUUCAGAAGAACAUUUUACUCCUCAGUAUCAGGCCACAUACAAGUUUAAAUCUUAAUGUUAAAUUUGUGGUGGUUUUGAUGAUGAUGUCUGGAGAGUGUUACAUAUUUAGUUAAAAUAUUGGACUAGGGGGACAGAUUCAGUUUUAUCCUCAGCUAUGAAUGUUCAUUGGACAAGUUAUCCUAGUGUCACAGCUUGCUGUGGGGACAAUCUGCAGUAUGAAGGGGUAUUAAAUACAUUGAGUUGAGCACCUCUUGGAGUACAGGUGAGCUGUAGAUAUUAUGGAUAUUACUUAUAACAGGGAUGCAUUUCACCUGAUGGGUGUACUUAGACCUCUAUGUGUGGGAAAAUUUAGAUUUAUAUGGACAGAACACACACAGAAAUCAAAGCAGCUGAAACAUUUCUGAAUAUCUCUGGGGCUGUAGGGGAAGGAGUGGCAGAGCCUGGAGGCAGGCUCAAAAGAGAGAUCAGUCUAAAAUCCUCAUGUAGGAUUCUGGAGCAUACUAAGUUCAUCCCACUGUGAACCCUUAUGUAACUUCUAGCAAGUUACAUAAGUUGAGACUAUUCCUGUGCAUAGGAACAAUUAGCAAAAAAUCUGUUUAAUUGAAACUUCAAAUGUGGUCCUGGUUUUUUGUGUCUGAGGGGUGCAGAACAACACACUUGAAAAGAAUGAUCUAAGAUAAUUUAUUAUUAUAAGAUUGGUAAAGUUGAAAAAGAUGGGAAUUUCAAUUAUUUUUUUUCAAGACUCUUCUGACUAAUAAACAUAUUUUGUUUAAAAAUUUGAGGAUACUAGGGAAACGAAGGAAGACUUUUACUGCUAUGUCUAAGUUUGUAGAUUUUGCUAAAAUGUAAACCAUGUUUUACACAGCAUGAUGACUAGGUUCAUUCAUCGUGCUGAGCCAUAAUAGCAUUUGGUUGGGUUUGCCUUGGCAUAAUGUGUGGCCUCGGCCACCGUGAUUUGUAAAUCAGAUUUUAUGACAUAGUAUUAUGACUGAAUUAGGCUGAAAUGGCUUCUUCAAUAAACCCUAUUUGAAAUAAAACUUGGCCUACUAUGAUCUGUAAUCCCAGCCAUUGUAUGGAGCAGCCCUAUUCAUAUUGUGCACUUCAUUUUUAUUUAUUAAAUUUGUUUGCCUCCCAUCUCACCCCUCUGAAGGAAACUCUCAAAGUUAGGCCCUAAUUAAUUAACCUCUUUGACUAACAAAGCUACGGUGUGAUAACUAGCUAUAAUUCCAAAGGUUAAUUUAUUAAAGGAUAAACUGUCAGCCAUUUAUAAAGUAGAAAAUAGGGUAUUUUCUAUGCAGGCUAGAGAGUUGGGCUGACAUAAACACUGAAGACAUCUCUAUAUCUCUCAAAACAUCUGGGAAAGCUGAAGUCCCUCUGUGCCAUGGAAUUCAGCAAAAAUGGAAAUUACUCAGCGUGCCUGGCUAGGUUUUUUUAGUUCCAGCCUGGGAGAAGAGAGGAAAUGUUCAAGUGGAAUUAAAUGCAUAUGGCUUUUUUUAAUUAAGUUUUGCAUUCAUUGCAAAAAUAGUAAUUGCCAUAUCUUUGUGGGAAUGUUAAAAAGUUUACAAAGCCAAGUGCAAUCUACUGUGCAAAUUAACUGCUAAAUGGUCAUUUAAUGACUACAGAGAAGGAUCAUGUUUCUCUUGCUUCUUUCAUCUUCCAGGUGACAUUAUUGUCACGUGAAUUAUCAGAGGACUUUUAAACCAUUUUCUUUGAUCUUCUUUUAGUCUGUCUCUGUAAAAGCUCCUCACAGUAUCUGUAGCAUUUUUUACUCACCUUCAAAUAAAUAAUAUGUUUUACAAUAGUUAUAUCAGGUUAGUUUGAUCUUUACUUGUAAAUUCUUGUCUGCAUACACACAGCCUUAAAAGCAGAUAUUUCUACAGUGGAAUGAAGCCUUGUUCAGUCCCAACAUAGAAUAGCACUAGCAAUAUCACUUAGGCUUAUAUACCACUUCAUAGUGCUUUACAGCCCUCUCCAAGCAGUUUACAGAGUCAGCAUAUUGCCCCCAACAAUCUGGGUCCUCAUUAGAUCAGGAUUAGGUUAGCUGGUGCUUUUCAGAUGUUUUGGAUUUUGACUAACAUAAGUCCCAGAAAGCAUGGACAAGGAGUUGUAGAACAAACAUCCAGAAGGUACCAGUCUGUGUAUCCAUGACUCUGGGUGGUUUAGGCUGGCAGAUAGCCAGUACAUUUCAUAAUGUAAUUGUGCUCCGUGCAAAAUCUUACAUAGUCUUUCCUAGAUUGUCCGUUGCUUAACUUCAUUAGUUGACACCAGGUUCUACAAAAAAGGACGGCAAAGUUUUGAGGCCACUAGUGGAUCAUAAUGAUAUAAAACUGUACAAGUGUUCUUGUUCCUUUGUAUCCAAUUUCCAACAUAAGUAGAGAAUGGAUCCAUCUAUAAGGCUAGAUUCAAUAUGUCAAACUGAAAGCUUUAUAUUACUUACCAAUCUACCGAAACGUAUUGAUGGAAUGCCCAAUUUCUAAAAAGGGAGAAUAGGUACAGGGCAUGGUUGAGCCUCAGCUCCCUUUUCCUGCUAAUCUUGCUGGGCCCUCUGCAACAACUUGAACUAUUCUUGGUAACUCAGGUGGCUUUCUGCAUGUUCUGUCUGUCAUUCCUCCAAUGCAGUUACAUGCCAGCUAUUUUGUUAGGUGGCUUUUACUGGUUUCUCGCUCUAAAGCCAUAAUGAAUGCCAUUCAUUCUCUCAAUGCCACUCCUCUGGAAAACUUAUGUUUCUAAAUGCCAUGGGCCAAAUUCCUUGUUAAAGAAAAGAGAGUAGAGUGGCUGUAAUGCACGUUAGAAGCAACAUUUCAGUUUUUCAGCACAGAAUCAAGUCAGCCAAAAGCCUUCUUUGAACUCUUUUGAGUUUUACUUCAUUUCAAAGAACAAGACAAAUGUCUGGGAAAUGUCCACUGUUGGCUUGACAUGUCUAACUGGACAGUCAGGGAAGCUGAAAAGUAAAGUAUGAAGGUAACAUACUUUUCUUCACAGCAUUGAACUAAAUGGCACACAACUCUUUUAUUCUAAAAAUCGUUUACUUUCUUUGCAAUGCCACGUAAUUCUAUUGCUUUAUAUUAAAGUGUUUUGCAGUCUUGUGGACAGAUCUGUUUGCUCUGUCUUGAAUGGAAGACCAGAUAGGCUAGAUUAGAAACUUGAAAAACAUCCUGGAAGAAGUAGAAUAUCACUUCCAACUCCCAAUUGUUGCUAAGAAAGAUGCAAGAUUAUCUUUGUAGCCGUUAGAUAUUAAGCUCAACAUAAGGUCUUCUUUAGCUAUUUAUCAUGAUCUUUGGAUCCUCCUAAUGUUGGCUACCUCACUUUCCUGCCUCGUGGGCUACCUCACCUACUAUACCUCAUGGUGCUGAUUUGCCAUAAAAUAGAAUAGCUUAUUGGUCAGAUCCCACCUCCAAUAUUAUGUCCAUUUCUAGAUACCACUUUCAUGAUUAGAGAAAUUGGGGUUGGUUUGCAAGCAUCAGUAUGCAGGCUGCUGCAUUUUGCAUCUAAUGCUGUUUCCAAGUCGUCUUUAAAGGUAUAUCCAGGUAGACCGCGUUACAGUAAUCCAAUCUGGCGAUAAUGGGGACAUAAAUGACAGUUGAAGAAUUGAAGCAAUGACUUUUGAAGGACUUUCCGAAGGACUUGAGGGGUUAUGCUUGAUUAUGUGUUGACUCUUAGAUACCAAAUAAAGGCAUGAAGUCCUCAACUUAUGACCACAGUUGGGACCAGAAUUUCUGUCAGCAAGCAAUGCAGCUGCAAAGUGCAACAUCACGUGAUCGCAUCACUUAGUGACAGAAAUCCUGGCAAUCCUUGUUACUGUUGUAACUCCAGACACGUGCUUCAUUAAGCGGGAAACAGAAGGUGUCCCUUGUAAAGAGAGUAGGGGUCCCUAGUAGGAUGUGAGAGAUCCUGGGAGACCCAAUGCAGACUGUGCAUGAGUUGGGGUGGGGGGGAAUGAUGUAGUGCGGAACAAGGUCAGAGAGACCAAGGAAAUUGGGUACGAGGUGUGCACAUGCAUACUGUAUGUGAGCUUUCCCCAGGAAAGCUGGGGAAAGAAUACACUGCAGCUCUGGGCUGUAAGAAGCCCCUGAGCCACAGCGCAGAAUGAAGUGCAGCCCACGAUCAGCUCAGUGGUGCGAUGCAAAGUUACUUCUUGCUGCCCUGGGAAGCCACAGUUGCCACAGUCCAGUCCCAUCUGCAUUUGUCCUCAUGCUAAACUCCAUCACACCAGAUAACUUUCAUCAUUUUAUUGCUCCUGCUGUUGUGCCUGGCCUGGUCCUUUACAAGGCAGCUACUGGCCACAUGACACCAUCUUCCCCAGUUCUUGUGAGGAAACCACCGGGCGGAAAACUGGGGAAGAAAUCCUUGCGCAGCUAGCAACUGUCCUGUGAAGAGAUAGUAUGGGUAUGCUUGGUCAGUAGUGGAAGCAAGAAGAUGGCAAAGAUCAGCUAGAGUGGCAGGGGCCACGGAGUGCAGGGCUAAAAGAGCAUAGAUAGAUGGGUAGCAAAGUUGAAACAUCCUUGCAGUGAAUAAAUGCAGAAGGGCUGCCAACUGCCCAAAUUUUAAUCACGUAAUCUCAAGGAUGCUGCAACAGCCAUAACUUUGGAGACUGGUCAUAAAUCCCUUUAUUCAGUGCCUCGGUACUUCUGAACGGUCACUGACUGAAUGAAUGAUUAUAAGUCAAGGACUAUCUAUAGCUAGGUUUUCGACAUGAUGAUCUGUCCCUAAAUUGGUCCUCCAAAUGGGAUUAUGAUAGGACUUUUCAAAUAUUUGAAAGGAUGCAACAUUGAAAGCCAACAGCUAAUUUCCAGCAUAAUCCAUAAGUCACGGGAAAACAAAGUCAGAUAGAAUAUUAGGAAAAAUCUUCCUAACAAUAAGAGUAUUCCAGUAGUGAAACCAAUGGGCAGAAGCGGAAGCUGGGCAGCCAGUUCAUUGAGAAAGUUUGAUUUGGGUUUCUGCCCUGGGUGGGGGUUCUACUCAAUUGUCCACCUAAGUCAUCAUUUCCCAACCUUGGUAACUAAGAGAUGUGGACUUCAACUCUCAGAAUUCCCCAACUAGCCAUGGCUAACCUGUUUUGAAUAUGCAACUGCUGAAUUCUUUUCAAGCAGAUAAUCAUGAAGUAGUCUUAAUAAUAAUAAUAAAGUUGGAAGGGACCUUGGAGGUCAUCUGGUCCAACCCCCUGCUCAUGCAGGAA